rnacentral:tRNA from 1 species
GCCGCCGUGGCUUAGACUGGUAUAGCGACACCUUGGUAAGGUGUAGGUCGAGGGUUCGAAUCCCUCCGGCGGCU